UCGAGCGGAUGAAGGGAGCUUGCUCCUGGAUUCAGCGGCGGACGGGUGAGUAAUGCCUAGGAAUCUGCCUGGUAGUGGGGGAUAACGUCCGGAAACGGGCGCUAAUACCGCAUACGUCCUGAGGGAGAAAGUGGGGGAUCUUCGGACCUCACGCUAUCAGAUGAGCCUAGGUCGGAUUAGCUAGUUGGUGGGGUAAAGGCCUACCAAGGCGACGAUCCGUAACUGGUCUGAGAGGAUGAUCAGUCACACUGGAACUGAGACACGGUCCAGACUCCUACGGGAGGCAGCAGUGGGGAAUAUUGGACAAUGGGCGAAAGCCUGAUCCAGCCAUGCCGCGUGUGUGAAGAAGGUCUUCGGAUUGUAAAGCACUUUAAGUUGGGAGGAAGGGCAGUAAGUUAAUACCUUGCUGUUUUGACGUUACCAACAGAAUAAGCACCGGCUAACUUCGUGCCAGCAGCCGCGGUAAUACGAAGGGUGCAAGCGUUAAUCGGAAUUACUGGGCGUAAAGCGCGCGUAGGUGGUUCAGCAAGUUGGAUGUGAAAUCCCCGGGCUCAACCUGGGAACUGCAUCCAAAACUACUGAGCUAGAGUACGGUAGAGGGUGGUGGAAUUUCCUGUGUAGCGGUGAAAUGCGUAGAUAUAGGAAGGAACACCAGUGGCGAAGGCGACCACCUGGACUGAUACUGACACUGAGGUGCGAAAGCGUGGGGGGCAAACAGGAUUAGAUACCCUGGUAGUCCACGCCGUAAACGAUGUCGACUAGCCGUUGGGAUCCUUGAGAUCUUAGUGGCGCAGCUAACGCGAUAAGUCGACCGCCUGGGGAGUACGG
rnacentral:rRNA from 1 species